AUGUACCCAGUGGCUUGGGCUGUGGUGGAGAAAGAGACAAAUGAUAGCUGGAAGUGGUUUAUUGCUCUGUUAAUCAAAGACUUGGAUAUUAAUGACCAAGGAGCAGGAUGGGUUUUCAUUUCUGAUCAGCAGAAGGUAAAAUUACAUAAUUAG
rnacentral:rRNA from 1 species